rnacentral:lncRNA from 1 species
GGGGGCUGCUUAAGCGGCCGUCUGACCGCUUUUGCAUCUUGGAUGCCGCUUUUGUGGCAGGUGCCUCUUAGACUGGGCCACUCAGCUAAUGGACUUAGUAGUGUUUUGAGGCUCUUUGGAAGGGAAAAAACUCGAGUAGAGGUUUGGGUGUGGUUUUUUCCUUGAGGUAGGUUAUGAUUUCUUUCUUAUAGACUUGGCUUAGCAUGAUUAUGUAUGUAUUUGAGUAGUGUGAUAGUUAGGAAGGUUUUAGGAUUAGUCCGUAGGUGUGCUUGAUCCUUAGUGAUGUUAUUGGCCAUUUCGGGUUUGUAUCUUAGUUCCUUAGUCAUUUAACUUUAGUUUGGUUGGUUCUUGACUUGACUGUCAUUUUAGAUCCUUAGAAUGCUCAUAGGUUGCGUUGAGCUUAGAUUGUAUACACGUUGGUUGCCUUGGUGUUUUGUGUACCCUCUGUAGUUAUACUUUGAGUUUAUCACUUUAUUUAUUGUAUUGUUUGGGCCUUAGUUCAUGGACUUGGACUGAUUGGAGUUCCAGGUUAGUACCCGGUGUGUGUGUGUGAUAUGGUUGAUUUUGAGAAUGACUUGACUGUGUUUGUGUGAAAUCCUCUUCAUGCCAUAUUGUUGGCAUAAUUGCAUAUGAUUUUUGGAAAGAAAAGAGGUUUUUGAGAUAUUUAUCAGUUGUACAAUGUUUUCUAUUGAUUUCAGCUCCAAGGGAACGGGAUUACUAGCUUUAUUGAUUUUUACUUACGGAAACUUGGUUUUGAAAGAAAUGUACCAUUUGAUAUUUAUGAGUUGUACUACGUUUUCUAUUGAUUUUCGCUCCAAGGGAGCGGGAUUACUGGUUUUACUGUUUUUUACCGACGAAAACUUGGUUUUGAGAGAAAUGUACCAUUUUCCCCUUAUAAGGCAUAUGUUGAUAAACUUCGGCAUCCCGCAGACUGAAUUUCAUGUUUUACUUUUAUCUCAUCUAUAGUUGAGCUGGGGUGGGUUCUGUAGUUGUCUCAGGGGUCUACAGGACAGUCGGCGAGACAAUUCCAGAACUUUUUACUUUCAACAUGUAUUGGCCACAUGUGCAUCACAUCUCAUUGCAUGAUUGAUUGCUUGUGAUUGUUUGGAUUGUGUGGUUAACCGGUUGUUUCCUUUCUUUCCGGUAGUGUUUGCUUACUUUUAGCCUUAUAUCAGACUCUUGUUAGAUCUUCUAAGCUCGGUCGGACUAUGAUACCUACUGAGUAUCCUGUGUUUUGGUACUCGUACUACAUUUUUGCAUCUUUUUCUGGUGCAGCAACUUCCAGUACGAGUCACCCUCAAUGAGCGUUGGAUCAUCUCUCGAUCGUCACAGACUUGAAUAGUGGUGAGCUCCUUGCAUUCAGAGACCUGUUGCUUUCCCUCUUUUGU